rnacentral:lncRNA from 1 species
AUGCAGGGUGGUUUAGUGUUUGGUGCCUGGUACACAGAUAUUCACUUGUAAAGUUUCUAGCCUACUGGAGUUGUACUUCAAGCGUAUAAAGUUACCUAAUGCUCAGUUUAGGAGCAAUUUACGUCUGGAGAGAGAGUAUCAUGAUCUAUCUUUAAUUUCCCUAGAUGACCAGAGACAUUUUUAACUUCUAGGCUAGGAGAUA